rnacentral:rRNA from 1 species
GUAAGGACGCGUAGGCGGGAAGCCAAGUCUGAUGUGAAAUCCUAUGGCUUAACCAUAGAACUGCAUUGGAAACUGGUUACCUAGAGUAUGGGAGGGGGAGAUGGAAUUAGUGGUGUAGGGGUAAAAUCCGUAGAUAUCACUAGGAAUACCGAAAGCGAAGGCGAUCUCCUGGAACAAUACUGACGCUAAGGCGUGAAAGCGUGGGGAGCAAACGGGAUUAGAUACCCCGGUAGUCCACGCCCUAAACGAUGUUCACUAGUCGUCGGAAUGCUAGUCAUUUCGGUGAUGCACUUAACAGAUUAAGUGAACCGCCUGGGGAGUACGGUCGCAAGAUUAAAACUCAAAGGAAUAGACGGGGACCCGCACAAGUGGUGGAGCAUGUGGUUUAAUUCGAAGAUACGCGAAGAACCUUACCUAGCCUUGACAUUGAAGAAACACUUUAGAGAUAGAGUGGUGCCCUUCGGGGAAUCUGAAAACAGGUGCUGCACGGCUGUCGUCAGCUCGUGUCGUGAGAUGUUGGGUUAAGUCCCGCAACGAGCGCAACCCUCGUCCUUAGUUGCCAGCAGGUUAAGCUGGGCACUUUAAGGAGACUGCCUUCGCAAGGAGGAGGAAGGUGAGGACGACGUCAAGUCAUCAUGGCCCUUAUGGCUAGGGCUACACACGUGCUACAAUGGGGCGUACGGAGAGUUGCGAUACCGCGAGGUGGAGCCAAUCUCAUAAAGCGUCUCUCAGUUCGGAUUGGAGUCUGCAACUCGACUCCAUGAAGCUGGAAUCACUAGUAAUCGUAGAUCAGCAAUGCUACGGUGAAUACGUU